AUUGAACGCUGGCGGCAGGCCUAACACAUGCAAGUCGAACGAGUGGCGGACGGGUGGGUAAUGUCUGGAAAACUGCCUGAUGGAGGGGGAUAACUACUGGAAACGGUAGCAAAUACCGCAUACCAUCGGAUGUGCCCCGAUGGGUUUAGCUAGUAGGGGGGGUAAAGGCUCUCCUAGGGGAAGAUCCCUAGCUGGUCUGAGAGGAUGACCAGCCACACUGGAACUGAGACACGGUCCAGACUCCUACGGGAGGCAGCAGUGGGGAAUAUUGCACAAUGGGCGCAAGCCUGAUGCAGCCAUGCCGCGUGUGUGAAGAAGGCCUUCGGGUUGUAAAGUUCUUUCAGCGGGGAGGCGGUACCCGCAGAAGAAGCACCGGCUAACUCCGUGCCAGCAGCCGCGGUAAUAC
rnacentral:rRNA from 1 species